rnacentral:rRNA from 1 species
GGUUUUUAUAUUUUAUUAAAAAUUUAACCUGCCAAUUGAAUUAAAUUUAAAAGGCCGCAGUAUUUUGACUGUGCUAAGGUAGCAUAAUCAUUAGAUUUAUAAUUGAAAUCUAGAAUGAAUGGUUUAAUGAAACAAAAUCUUUUUUAAUUUAAAUAAUUGAAUUUUUUUUUUUAGUUAAAAAACUAAAAUAUUUUUAUGGGACGAGAAGACCCUAUAGAAUUUUAUAUUUAUUAAAUUAAAUAAUAAUUUAUAAAUUAAUUAUAGUAUUUUACAAUAUUUUAUUGGGGCGAUAAAUAAAUUUAGUUAACUUUAAAUUUUUUAUCAAUAAUUUUUGUUAAAUUGAUCUUUUUUUAUUGAUUAAAAGUUUAAAUUACCUUAGGGAUAACAGCAUAAUUUUAUUAAGAAGUUCUUAUUUUUAAUAUUGUUUAUGACCUCGAUGUUGAAUUAAAUAAAAUUAUUAUAUGAAGAUAUAUAAAAAAUAAGUCUGUUCGACUUUUAAUUAUUUACAUGAUUUGAGUUCAAACCGGUGUAAG